rnacentral:lncRNA from 1 species
UUGGAUGUGAUCAUGUGUCUAAGUUCUGGUAAAGAACUACUCUACUCUUCUUUCCCGCUGACUGGAAUGUGGACAUGGUGACUGGAGCUUGAGCAGCAAUCUUAAACCAUGAGGUGGAAACUAUUAUUCAGGAUGCAGACAAAAGAAGCUUGGAAAUCUGAAGAUUGUGGCACAAGAUUGCAGCCUGGACAGCUACUGUGUAGAGAUACUCCAUAUGUUCCACCGACACAUCUGGUUGUUGCUCUCCUUCGCUCCUGCUCUGGACUGGCAGCAGCUCUGUGCUUCUGUCUCCACAUCCCUGGUGAGUGCUUUGUUAGGCUUCUUCUGCCCGCUUAUGCCUGCUUUGCUACAAAGUGUGGGGACCAGCCCCUCCUAUUAUUCCCUAUAGCCCAGCCAACACAAGGCAGUCGUGUUUAACAGACUUUAAAUGUCUUGAGGAUUCCAUCAGGGAACUUCAUUGUGGGAAAGGAAACUGACAGCUGAGUAUUGCUGUGUCCAGCAUCCAUUAGCCACACAUAUCCCACUGGACAUCUUUUUCCCAAAUCCCUGACUUGCUGCUACUACUGAGGAAAAAAUAUCAGGAGACAGCAAAAUGAUGCUGACUGCUCAGACUGUAAGCUCUGCGAGGGCAGGAACUGUCUCUGUUGCUUAACAUUGUCUUCCCUUCACCAAGCAUAGUGCUUUGGCACAUAGUGGGGGCUCCAUAAAUACUUGUUAUUUGAAUGUGUGGAGGAGCCCACAGCCCUUAGAGAAGGUAGGCUUCGGUAAUAUUAAACAGAAUAUUUUUUGCAAGUGGAUUUGGAUUACUCUGCUGGUUCACAAUUUCCCCAAGGACAGUGGCUUAGGCACUUCCCCUCUAACAUCCCAAUCCCUAACUAAUACAUAUUUCAGCUUCUAUCCAGAAAUUUAGAAAUGGAUGAAUUUUUUUAAAUAACACUAUUUCUUCUCUAAUAUGUGUUGGGUGUAUUAUUUUGCAUAGUUAAGAUCAUGAUGUAUCCAUUGUUCUGUAUCCUGUUUUCACUCCCCCUCUGCCCUCUGCCUUUGAACAUGAUUUUCUCAACAUGAUUCUUAAUGACUGCAUAAUGUCUCAUAGAAUGUGGUAGAUGUACCUAAUUUGCUUAAUCAUUCUUUUUUCAUUUCAAUUUAGCUAUUAUAAAUAGUGUUACAAGGAACACUCUUAUAUGUAAAUCUUUGUCCAUAGUUUAUACUAUUUCCUUGAGAUAGAUGUCUGGGAAUGAAAUGAUAGUAUCAAAAUAUAUGAAUGUUUUUAUGGCCCUUGUAUCUCUUGCCAAAUUGCUGUCUGGAAAGAUUAUCUCAAUUUAUAUUCUCACCAUAAGAUAUAAAAGUGCUUAUUUCAUCAAAUCCACCUUCAUAUUAUAAUCA